rnacentral:misc_RNA from 1 species
GAAAGAGUUUCAGUUUUGAUUGACUUUACUUAUCGGUCAGACGUAGUAUAGCGCAUGAAUUAAUGUUAUGGAAAUAUUUAAAAACGACAGCAGUGAGAAACGCAACACGCGAAGCUAGAAACCAAUUCUCAACCAGUACCUGUUUGCGACUAAAGAGUUUAUAUAGCCAUAAAGGAACUUACAGAAGUAUGCAGUUAGCUGCCGUCAAAAAAAUAUGCGACAUAGCUGCAGAAAAAAGCAGUAGUUUGGUAACAAGCUGGCCUUUUGGAUUUACCGGUUUCUUGACAGCAACAAAUAAGCGGACAAAUAAACAACCUGAUAUCUUAAUAGGUAUUUUAACCACAUAGAUUCCUAGUGGCCUUCUGGAUAGACAAUCAAGCCGAAGCGCUGUUCAUAAUUCCAGCUCUGGGGAGUAUACUCCUCCUCCGACAUUUCCGUCGCGUUUGGAUCCAUAAGCGUUUCGUAUGUAGCGAGGCGAGGCCUGUUGUACCAGUCCUUUCGGGUUGGCAUGAGAAGUGAGCAGAAUAGACCUCCUUGUGGAGUACUGCUCCUGAUGGACCCGAAGUUGAGGCUCUUUCAACUGCCGUCUAUAUUGUCAUAGCUUUUUGUGGUGUUCUACACGGAUGCGCCAAUGAUAGUCGUAAUUGAAAGCUGGAUCAAGUACAUAUUUUUUUAUUACUGGACGGGGUAAACUCACAACCAACGACAACUAAAGUUAAGUUUCACUGUUAUA